UCGGGAAUUUUGCACAAUGGCCGAAAGGCUGAUGCAGCAACGCCGCGUGAGCGAAGAAGGCCUUCGGGUUGUAAAGCUCUGUUGCCUGCGAAGAAGGGCCCUGUCAGGAAAUGGGCGGGGUUUGACGGUAGCAGGCGAGGAAGCCCCGGCAAACUACGUGCCAGCAGCCGCGGUAAUACGUAGUGGGCGAGCGUUGUCCGGAAUUACUGGGCGUAAAGGGCGUGUAGGCGGCCUGUUAAGUCAGGGGUGAAAGACCGGGGCUCAACACCGGGGUUGCCUCUGAAACUGGCGAGCUUGAGUGCUCUAGAGGGCAGUGGAAUUCCCGGUGUAGCAGUGAAAUGCGUAGAGAUCGGGAGGGACACCAGUGGCGAAGGCGGAAGCCUGGGGAGUCACUGUCGAUGAGGCGCGAAAGCUAGGGGAGCAAACAGG
rnacentral:rRNA from 1 species